UACGGAGGGUGCAAGCGUUGUCCGGAAUCACUGGGCGUAAAGGGCGCGUAGGCGGCUCGGUAAGUAGGGGGUGAAAUCCUGCGGCUUAACCGCAGGGCUGCCUUCUAAACUGUCGAGCUUGAGCACGGUAGAGGCAGAUGGAAUUCCCGGUGUAGCGGUGGAAUGCGUAGAGAUCGGGAAGAACAUCAGUGGCGAAGGCGGUCUGCUGGCCCGAUACUGACGCUGAGGCACGAAAGCGUGGGGAGCAAACAGG
rnacentral:rRNA from 1 species